rnacentral:rRNA from 1 species
UACGUAGGGGGCAAGCGUUGUCCGGAUUUAUUGGGCGUAAAGCGCGUGUAGGUGGCCAAGUAGGUCCGCUGUGAAAACUCGAGGCUUAACCUCGAGAUGUCAUCGGAAACCAUUUGGCUAGAGUCCGGAAGAGGAGAGUGGAAUUCCUGGUGUAGCGGUGAAAUGCGCAGAUAUCAGGAAGAACACCAAUGGCGAAAGCAGCUCUCUGGGACGGUACUGACGCUGAGACGCGAAAGCGUGGGGAGCGAACAGG